UACGUGGGGUGCAAGCGUUGUUCGGAAUUACUGGGCGUAAAGCGCGCGUAGGCGGUUACUCAAGUCGGAUGUGAAAGCCCUCGGCUUAACUGAGGAAGUGCACCCGAAACUGAGUAGCUAGAGUACUAAAGAGGGUCGCGGAAUUCCCGGUGUAGAGGUGAAAUUCGUAGAUAUCGGGAGGAACACCGGUGGCGAAGGCGGCGACCUGGGUAGAUACUGACGCUGAGGCGCGAAAGCGUGGGGAGCAAACAGG
rnacentral:rRNA from 1 species